CGGAUUUUCGAGAGUUUCCCUCGAUUUAUAUGGGAUCCCAUCAUCAGAUCCUGGUUUCCUUAUCACGGUACCAAACUAGGGAUAUCCCUUUUCCAACAAAAAAAGAAUUAUCAAAAUCGGUACAUACAGUAGAAAGUUAUGCGGUAUAAUACAACGUAGGUCGACGAAAAAAGCGUCAAGUAAAAACGCAUUAUUAGAUAUAGCUCGA
rnacentral:misc_RNA from 1 species